rnacentral:tRNA from 1 species
UGGUAUUUAGUUUAAAGCAAAAUAAAUGAUUUUGAUUCAUUAGAUUAUGAUUAAAUUCAUAAUUACCAA